CUGGUGUUGAGACCUUGAGGCAG
rnacentral:piRNA from 1 species